rnacentral:rRNA from 1 species
AGAGUUUGAUCCUGGCUCAGGAUGAACGCUGGCGGCGUGCCUAAUACAUGCAAGUCGAGCGAAUGGAUUAAGAGCUUGCUCUUAUGAAGUUAGCGGCGGACGGGUGAGUAACACGUGGGUAACCUGCCCAUAAGACUGGGAUAACUCCGGGAAACCGGGGCUAAUACCGGAUAACAUUUUGAACCGCAUGGUUCGAAAUUGAAAGGCGGCUUCGGCUGUCACUUAUGGAUGGACCCGCGUCGCAUUAGCUAGUUGGUGAGGUAACGGCUCACCAAGGCAACGAUGCGUAGCCGACCUGAGAGGGUGAUCGGCCACACUGGGACUGAGACACGGCCCAGACUCCUACGGGAGGCAGCAGUAGGGAAUCUUCCGCGAUGGACGAAAGUCUGACGGAGCAACGCCGCGUGAGUGAUGAAGGCUUUCGGGUCGUAAAACUCUGUUGUUAGGGAAGAACAAGUGCUAGUUGAAUAAGCUGGCACCUUGACGGUACCUAACCAGAAAGCCACGGCUAACUACGUGCCAGCAGCCGCGGUAAUACGUAGGUGGCAAGCGUUAUCCGGAAUUAUUGGGCGUAAAGCGCGCGCAGGUGGUUUCUUAAGUCUGAUGUGAAAGCCCACGGCUCAACCGUGGAGGGUCAUUGGAAACUGGGAGACUUGAGUGCAGAAGAGGAAAGUGGAAUUCCAUGUGUAGCGGUGAAAUGCGUAGA